UCUCGGAUUCAGGAGAGGGUUUUUAUUAUUAUUAUUAUUAUUCCUUUCUGUAGAUGACAGCAUAGCUUCGUUUAUACAGCUGGGGCCCUCUGGAGUCUACAGAUGGAUUGUUAGAGAUGUGGCCUGCCAGCUGCCUUUGGAGAGUAGCCAAAUCUGCUGGGACCCAGCCACUUCAGGCACAGAUGUGCUUGCCUUUCCUGAAUGGAUGUCUUCCAGAAACGUCGGCUGUGAUGUCUGGUUUUUGUAUCUAUUGCUACUUCCAACGAAGACACAUAUGCAAAAGACUCCUGGCUGCCUUUUAAAUGAAAACGUGCAGCAUAUUAGGAUCAAUCAUUUGUCUAAUGUUGGUAAGUUCAUUGUUUUUUUUUUUUUCAUUUCAAAAAUGUUACU
rnacentral:lncRNA from 1 species